rnacentral:rRNA from 1 species
GAAGGUGAUGCCUGCCCGGUGACCCAACGUUUAACGGCCGCGGUAUCCUAACCGUGCAAAGGUAGCGCAAUCAAUUGUCCCAUAAAUCGAGACCAGUAUGAAUGGCUAAACGAGGUCUUAACUGUCUCUUGCAGGCAAUCGGUGAAAUUGAUCUCCCUGUGCAAAAGCAGGGAUAAACCCAUAAGACGAGAAGACCCUGUGGAACUUUAAAAACAGCAGCCACCCCAAAUAACAUAACCCCCCACUGGGCUCACUUACACAUAAGCCACUGGCCUGCAUUUUUUCGGUUGGGGCGACCUUGGAGAAAAACAAAUCCUCCAAAAAUUAGACCAUACCUCUAGACUAAGAGCAACCCCUCAACGUGCUAAUAGCACCCAGACCCAAUAUAAUUGAUCAAUGGACCAAUCUACCCCAGGGAUAACAGCGCAAUCUCCUUUAAGAGUCCAUAUCGACAAGGAGGUUUACGACCUCGAUGUUGGAUCCGGACAUCCUAGUGGUGCAGAAGCUACUAAGGGUUCGUUUGUUCAACGAUUAACAGUCCU